rnacentral:lncRNA from 1 species
GCUGCUUACUGGCCUGCUUUCUUAUAAAACCAGGGACCCCCAGCGCAGGGAUGGCCCCACCUACAAUGGGCUGGACCCUCCCUGACAUUUAUUACAAAAGUGCCAUAUAACUGGAUCUAAUGGAGGCAUUUUCUCAACUGAGGUUCCCUCUUUUCAGACCACUGUAGCUUGUGUCAAGUUGACAUAAAGUUAGCCAGCACACAGACAAAUAAUAAAUCUUUUAAAAAAAAAAAAAAAAAACCCUUUGACCCAAACUGAGAUGACUAUGUAGCAGGUUCAGGCACAGAGCAAGAAAGAACACAGGGCACACAGCUGUUGUUUAGUGGGGGCUGCUGUGGCCAUGGCAUGCUGCCACAGAGGUCCCCAUCUAACACUGAGGCGAGCGAAUGCCCCAGGAGUUUGUACAGUACUGACAUCACCUGGGUGACUAGGGCUUGAACCACAGCCUGGCAGCUCUGCAUAAAUUGUAUGGGAGUCCAGGCGUGUUUGGGGAACGUUAGAGUCACAAGAGGCAGAGCAAGGUGAAAGAAAGCCUUUUACCAGGACGAACCCUGCUGCAUACCCCUUCCUCCUUCCCCUCUCCAUCUCCAAGUCCUGGUGCCAGGUUUUAGGCACAGGGUACCUCGUGCCCCUUGUGAGCCAAGACAGAGAUUUAAUUGGGUUGUUCUGAGAAGCCGGCUAAUACAGCUAAAUUACUGGCCUUGAUUCCAGUUUUUAUGCUUUGGAUAUACAAAUUCUUGAUCAAGGCGACAGCCAACCAGGUUCAGACCUCGUGGGAAGCCGGUGCUAUUUUCAUGAAAAUAGGAUUUUUUUUCUUCUACAGAAACGACUGGGAGCCCCCAGAUAAGAAAGUGGAUACGAGAAAAUACCGAGCAGAGCCCAAAAGCAUUUACGAAUAUCAGCCGGGCAAGUCUUCGGUCCUGACCAAUGAGAAGAUGGUAAUGUGCAUAUGAAAGGUCUUUUGUUUGCUCCUGUGUAGUUGGAGCUUAUUCUUUCCCCACUAGAGAUAGACUUGCUUUGUUUAGAACAAUGAAAAGAGUUGAAGUAUUUUCACCCUCUGCAUUUCUGCAGGUCUUCAUAAAUUAGUCCUGAGUCUGCUUUUUAAAAAAACUGGUUUUUUUUUUGUGGCUCUGUUGUUCCAUUUGUGCGUGGUUUAACUCAUUUUAAUUUUCUACUAACAGCGAUUGAUCUCACUUAUUUUAGGAAAAAAAAAGAGUACUACUUUGUCAAAGUUACUCAGUAAAAGUUAUUAUUUUUUUGUAGGCAAUUCUUGUUCGAAAUGGAUGACUAUUACAGAAACGGCCAGUCUAGCAUUAAAAUCAUUCAAAGAUAACCAAUAGAAUGUUGUAACUUGGGGUAAAGUCCAGGCUGUUAGAGUUUUAUCUUUUGGUCUGCUGUCUUUGAUUGGCAAAGCAUUGAGAACUAACAUAAAAAUCAGUUUGGCUUAUUGUCCCUUACACAAAUUCACACUUCUAUAAAAAUUAGGUGGGAAAAAUGUGUGGAAAUUCUAGGCUGCCAUGGAAAAGUAGCCACUGCUGGGAAAUAGGAAGACUUUACAAACUGAUGAGUUUCGUAUAUGCCAAUCCUGCUUCCUUCCAUUCACCCUUCGCUAGGAAAAGCUGGCUCAAAUUGUGGGGAAUGGUCAAAGACUCUCUAAAGCUCCUGCAGCUUCACAGCCCUCUGGCUGGAGAGCAGGAUGGAGAUUCUGAAGUCUCCUUGAGAGCUGACAGCCUGCCGUUCUGUGCGUUUUUAGGGGAUAAUUGAUUAGACUUUUACUGACAUGAGGUGUGAUGUCUUUAUAAGUGCUCGAGUAAUUUUAAUUAGGAAAAAGGUCCCUGGUUCACAGAAACACUUUUAGAGCUAACAUUCUUUUGAGUUUGCUGGGCAGACAGCGAAAGGCAAGCUGAGUGACUUCCUUCUGCUUCCCUGCCUCAGAGGGAGUUGUCUGCCACCAGGAAGUAUCCCAGGCAUAAUGAAUGCAACUGCAACCUUCAACCCAAGGGUUCCUGGAAAGAAAGCCACACUCUUUAGUAACAAGCAAGUGAUCUCAGGGAUUCUGGAGGCCCUUGGGUGCUUUUAUUUGGGCAAUGGCCAUUCAUGGAUUGUCCAGGCCUACACUGAAGGCACACCCUUCUUCUUAAGGUUGUCUUUGUUUCCCCUUCCUUCUCUUGGUCUUAGUUGUCUCACCUCUAUACAGAACGAGGAAAGCGACAUUAUUUUGUUUUCUCCUUUGCUAUCAGUGCUUGGGAUCACUGGGUUAUUUUUUUUACAAGCACCGGGCAGUGCCCUCACAGUGCCCAUCUUUGGAGUGGUGGAGACUGUCUACGAGGACAGCAGAACACCAUCUGGUGUCUCAGUACAGGAGCUCCCCUGUAGUGCUCCAGGCCUGCGUCCCACCCGUAGUGGCAUGCGGGCACCUAUCCAACAGUUUAAUUCAGUGCCCUUCAGCCCAGUUAGCUCCCUCCUUCCAAAGAGAAGUUGUCGGUUUUAGAGAGGAAUUUCAGUUGAAUCUUAAUUUUUUUUUGACAGUGGCUGAAUUGGUCCAUUAUGCUUGAUCUUUUUUAAGUCCUGCUAUUUUAGUCACGUGAACAGAAAAGCUGCUAUGUGAAUUUCAAUGGGAGCCUUUCAGUGUGAGCCUUGCCUUUUGGAGUUAUCUGGCUGGCUGGGGUUUCAGCAGCACCCCCAUUCAUAGAUUUUUUGAAGAGAGCUAAAGAAUCAUUUCAUUAUCAAACGUGUAAACGGGUGACAGAUGUAGGCUCUAUGUUAGAUUUUAUUUUAGUUUCCUUUGUCUCUCCAUGAAGAAAGAGAAACCCCACUUUUUCUUCCGUUUGAGGUGUUCAAACCUGCUUCAUUCUGCUGAUUUAAGAAAUGGGCCCAGGCACGGCUAAUUGAUGCCAUUGGGAAGAAUGUUAAACUACAUGGACUGUGGGGGCUUCUCUUGCCCUAGAGCUUGCUCCCACUACCCAAACCCAUAAAACACUGUUACCCUCAGAAUCCCUGGGUGACUUCCAUUCUUGAUGACCUGUUUGGCAUAUUCACAAAGAUCUAAAUACUUCAUGCCUGUAAGUCAACCUUUUCUCUUCGGCCUUGGACUUAGAGAUGCGUGGUUUGGUCCCAGUUGUCAGGAAUGUCUAGGUUUUAUUCCUUAAUACUUUUUCUUUUCUUUGCUGAAGUCUCCCCAAAGGACAUGAGCCCCAUUUAAUCAAUAUAUAGACACAGCUUUUUCAUGCUGAGCCCUGGGCUGGGUGUUGGGGUUUAUAUUUCAUGGGUGUGUGGUAGCAAAGACAGAUAUCGGGAUAGUAAUUACAGGCACAAAAUGAACAACACGUAAGUGUGAGUGAGGGGUUUACCCAGCUCUGUCUCUCUCGUCCUCUUAGUAGGAGGGUCAGUGGGAAUAUAGCAUAGUUUACAGAAUGCUGGAUGGGUUAUGGGAGGCCUGAGCUCUGGGUUCUAAUCCUGACUCUACUGUGUGCCUUCGGGCAGUCAUUUAAUCUCCUUGAACCUCAAGGCUUCCGUUUGUGAGUAGAAAUAUUAUCUGGCCCUCCAGCCUGGCGGAGGACCAGGUGAUAUGGCCAGGGGGAGUAAUAUGGGUAUAAGAGCCAUGAAGAUUAUAAAGCAAACACACCAUAAUCACAUGAUUUACUUAAUUGAAAUUUGAAGCUGACCAGCUUCAAAUUCUCUGGCUCCUGUUCAAGCAUCAACACUGUCUUUGAGGAGGUGACACUUGCCUGGCAAGCCACUUGCCCGUUCUGUGGAUUUUAUCAGGCUGGAAAAAGAGCAGCCCACAGCAGCAAAGACCAGACCCUGGCACUGUAGAGGUGUCAUGGCUGUGGGAACAGAGAGCCCCCUUUGCUUCCAGCAGGGGUGUCCGUUCUUAGUCUGUUUCUUGAUUGGUUGCUGCUCAGUUACACCUGGCAACCUAAUGCAGGUAUGAGCACUGUGGGUAAUACCUUUUUAUCUUUAUGUCUGGGCAGCUCUCUCUCAGAACCGAGGCUUUGGAUCUAAGUUAUUUAACAUGACCUUUUCUUUACUCAGCACUAGCCUUGGCAGUCAGCUAUCCAGCAAACAGCAUUCAAGACUGAAACAAGUUAAUUCUUUUAAGGCUGUAAAUAUUGUAACUUUUUGGCAGCAUCCCAAAAGAGUUGGUAUGUUAGUACAUU